rnacentral:rRNA from 1 species
GAUGAACGCUGGCGGCGUGCCUAAUACAUGCAAGUCGAGCGGCAGCACGGUCUUCGGACUGGUGGCGAGCGGCGGACGGCUGAGUAACGCGUAGGAAUAUACCCAAAGUGAGGGAUAACUGCCCGAAAGGGUGGCUAAUACCGCAUGUGGUCUUCGGACUAAAGCCUUCGGGCGCUUUGGGAAUAGCCUGCGUAAGAUUGGCUAGUUGGUGAGGUAAUGGCUCACCAAGGCGACGAUCUUUAGCUGGUCUGAGAGGAUGACCAGCCAGACUGGAACUGAGACACGGUCCAGACUCCUACGGGAGGCAGCAGUAGGGAAUUUUCCACAAUGGGCGAAAGCCUGAUGGAGCAACGCCGCGUGCAGGAUGAAGGCCCUCGGGUCGUAAACUGCUUUAUGUGCGAAGAAUAUGACGGUAACACAUGAAUAAGGGUCGGCUAACUACGUGCCAGCAGCCGCGGUAAU